rnacentral:rRNA from 1 species
GAUGAACGCUGACAGAAUGCUUAACACAUGCAAGUCGAUUCAAGUUACCUUCGGGUAAUGAGGAUGGCGGACGGGUGAGUAACGCGUAAGGAACUUGCCUCUUGGUCUGGGACAACUGUUGGAAACGACAGCUAAUACCGGAUAUUAUGAGAUUCUCGCAUGGGAAACUUAUGAAAGCUAUAUGCGCCAAGAGAGAGCCUUGCGUUCCAUUAGCUAGUUGGUGGGGUAACGGCCCACCAAGGCGACGAUGGAUAGCCGGCCUGAGAGGGUGAACGGCCACAAGGGGACUGAGACACGGCCCUUACUCCUACGGGAGGCAGCAGUGGGGAAUAUUGGACAAUGGGCCACAAGCCUGAUCCAGCAAUUCUGUGUGCACGAUGAAGGUCUUCGGAUUGUAAAGUGCUUUCAGUUGGGAAGAAGAAAGUGACGGUACCAACAGAAGAAGCGACGGCUAAAUACGUGCCAGCAGCCGCGGUAAUACGUAUGUCGCAAGCGUUAUCCGGAUUUAUUGGGCGUAAAGCGCGUCUAGGCGGAAAAAUAAGUCUGAUGUUAAAAUGCGGGGCUCAACUCCGUAUUGCGUUGGAAACUGUUUUUCUAGAGUACUGGAGAGGUGGGCGGAACUACAAGUGUAGAGGUGAAANUCGUAGAUAUUUGUAGGAAUGCCGAUGGAGAAGUCAGCUCACUGG